GACGAACGCUGGCGGCGUGCUUAACACAUGCAAGUCGAACGGAAAGGCCCUGCUUUUGUGGGGUGCUCGAGUGGCGAACGGGUGAGUAACACGUGAGUAACCUGCCCUUGACUUUGUGAUAACUUCAGGAAACUGGGGCUAAUACCGGAUAGGAGCUCCUGCUGCAUGGUGGGGGUUGGAAAGUUUCGGCGGUUGGGGAUGGACUCGCGGCUUAUCAGCUUGUUGGUGGGGUAGUGGCUUACCAAGGCUUUGACGGGUAGCCGGCCUGAGAGGGUGACCGGCCACAUUGGGACUGAGAUACGGCCCAGACUACUACGGGAGGCAGCAGUGGGGAAUAUUGCACAAUGGGCGGAAGCCUGAUGCAGCAACGCCGCGUGUGGGAUGACGGCCUUCGGGUUGUAAACCGCUUUCGCCUGUGACGAAGCGUGAGUGACGGUAAUGGGUAAAGAAGCACCGGCUAACUACGUG
rnacentral:rRNA from 1 species